rnacentral:rRNA from 1 species
UCGCACCUACCGAUUGAAUGGUCCGGUGAGCCGUUCGGACUCGCUUGGGUUUCCUUUACGGGAGACCCAGAUGGGGAAGUUCUGCAAACCUUACCAUUUAGAGGAAGGUG